CAAGGAAUAUUGUGCAAUGGGCGAAAGCCUGACACAGCGACGCCGCGUGGGGGAAGAAGGCCUUCGGGUUGUAAACCCCUUUUCUCAGGGAAGAUAAUGACGGUACCUGAGGAAUAAGUCUCGGCUAACUACGUGCCAGCAGCCGCGGUAAUACGUAGGAGGCGAGCGUUAUCCGGAUUUACUGGGCGUAAAGAGGGCGUAGGCGGUUUAGCAAGUCGGGUGUGAAAUCUCCUGGCUCAGCUAGGAGGGGUCAUUCGAAACUGCUAGACUAGAGGGCAGCAGGGGGAAGUGGAAUUCCCGGUGUAGUGGUGAAAUGCGUAGAUAUCGGGAGGAACACCAGUGGCGAAGGCGGCUUCCUGGGCUGUUUCUGACGCUGAGGCUCGAAAGUGUGGGGAGCGAA
rnacentral:rRNA from 1 species